rnacentral:rRNA from 1 species
CCUACGGGAUGCUGCAGUGCGGAAUAUUGGUCAAUGGACGCAAGUCUGAACCAGCCAUGCCGCGUGCAGGAAGACGGCUCUAUGAGUUGUAAACUGCUUUUGUACGAGGGUAAACGCAGAUACGCGUAUCUGUCUGAAAGUAUCUUACGAAUAAGCAUCGGCUACCUCCGUGCCAGCAGCCGCGGUAAUACGGAGGAUUCAAGCGUUAUCCGUAUUUAUUGGGUUUAACUGGUGCGUAGGCGGUCGUAUAAGUUAGAGGUGCAAUCCCGAGGCUCAACGUCGGAAUUGCCCAUGAUACUGUUCGGCGAGAGAGUAGUUGCGGUAGGCGGAAUGUAUGGUGUAGCGGUGAAAUGCUUAGAGAUCAUACAGAACACCGAUUGCGAAGGCAGCUUACCAAGCUACUUCUGACGUUGAGGAACGAAAGCGUGGGGAGCAAACAGGAUUAGAUACCCGGGUAGUC